AGGAGGAGAGAUGUGAGCAUGUAAGAUGUGAGAGGAGAGGAGACUGUACAAACAUGGAUUCAGAUAAAACGAGAGAAAUUUACUGAAUGUAGCGGAGAAAAAGUAAAACUGAUAUAUCGAUAUUUGGAUCGAUCCGCCCACCUCUGAUAAUAAGGAAAUUAAGCUCACUCCUCUUACAGUGGAAGACAUGCUGGUUUUACAUACUGUUCUCUAAAUCUGAACUCAACUGCACUAUUGUGAUCAGGUAAUGAGCUUCUUCUAAAGGUAGGUCUUCAUCCUUAACAUUGUAUAUCUUACUUAGACCAAGAAGCGGCAAUAAAUGAACCCAUUUUGGAACGUAGGAAGAAACCAGAGUACUCAGGGGUGAGAAAGAGGAUGCGGGGAAAAUAUGUCCAACUUCAAAAAGGCAGCAGGCAGGGGCAAAAGUACAAAAAAAUUAAUUAUCUUGAGUAACGAGUAACUAAUCAGUUCGCAAGUUUAAUGUCAAGCGCAUUCAUGGACAAUUUUGUAUCUCCAAUUCACCUCACUUGCAUGUUUUUGGACUGUGGGAGGAAACCGGAGCUCCCGGAGAAAAGCCAUGCAGACACGGGGAGAACAUGCAAACUCCACAAAGAAAGGACGACUCCACCUGGGGAUCGAACCCAGGACCUUCUUGCUGUGAGGCGACGGUGCUACCCACUGAGCUGCCUCACUUUUUUUGUAGUAUUAGAAAGCUUCCAACAAAGCAGCCAUCAAGUGACAAAUUGAAUUUGGUUCAAGUGUCGGUGUAUGACAGAACAGUAAAUCAAGCUUUAAAGUCUGGUUUAUACAUUACAUUUGAUUCCAAAUUUGUGUGAGAUAUGGGGCAUCAAAAUUGUGAUAUUUCAGCUGGCAAAGUUGUAACAUGUAAUCCUUGUUUGGUAACAAUUAAAUAUCUUUAUAUAAAUGAAAGAAAUAAAACAAAAUUGCAAGGUAAUGUGUCCUUUUGUUGGAAACAUUAACUUUGAUGAAUGAUGAAGACCUUUAUUUAAACAGUGAAGUUUUAAAAUGUUUUUGUGGUGUAAACAUUUGUUCUGUAUGCCCGAGGUUAUUUCACAUCA